GGGGAUGUUUUGGGAUUCGACAGGCGUAGAUUCGCAUUGACUGCAAUUCGUAGGUCACGUCUACGUAAAAACGUCACAGUUAAAUAUAACUGCAAAUAACGAAAAUUCUUACGCAGUAGCUGCUUAGUCAGCCUGUGUGAUCUGAUGACGGUUUGCUCAUGGCUGUUAUCGGGUUUUACCUUUAAUGAGCUACGUUUAACUACCUCAUCUGAAUAGUUAAAAAGAAGAAUCUCAGGUAUGUCUUAAUAUGUUUGCCCUGUUAUAUGGCGCAAUGUUUUGACGAGAUUAAAUAAUAUAACUAUGAUUGUAGAGGUUAAUGACGAAAUGCGUUUGGACAGGGGUUCAAUUCCCCUCAUCUCCACUA
rfam:Lactobacillus hominis DSM 23910 = CRBIP 24.179, type strain:CRBIP 24.179, WGS project CAKE01000000 data, contig: 35